rnacentral:rRNA from 1 species
GCCUGACCCAGCCACGCCGCGUGUGUGAUGAAGGCCUUCGGGUCGUAAAGCACUGUGGGGAGGGACGAAAAACCUCCGUUCGAAUAGGGCGGAGACUUGACUACCUCCUUAGCAAGCCCCGGCUAACUCUGUGCCAGCAGCCGCGGUAAGACAG